UUCUCUAAGAAUAAUGCUUUAGAGUAAAACCUGCUCAAUGUAACUAAUAUAAAUAGCCGCAGUACUCUGUGCUAAGGUAGCAUAAUCAUUAGCUUUUUAAUUAAAAGAUAGAAUGAAUGGUUAAACGAGACAUUAUACUGUUUCAUAUUUUUUAAACAAAAUUAAACAAGUGGUAAAAAUUCCACUAUUUUUACAGAAAGACGAUAAGACCCUAUAAACUCAAUAAUUAGCUGGGGCGGCGAUAUAAAAACACCUUAAACACUAAACAACCACAAAACAAAUUUAAUUUAUAUAGAAAAAGUUACUAUAGGGAUAACAGCGCUACUGUUUUUUAAAGCUCUAAUAUAAAAAACUUCUACGACCUCGAUGUUGAAUUAUUGUCCUUUAUUUACGCAAAAAUUAUAAUAGGUAGUCUGUUCGACUAUUAAAUACUU
rnacentral:rRNA from 1 species